CGGCGCACCCACCUCACUCGAGGUUGGGCGAGCGCGGAAGUAGAGUUCGGGACGGCGGAUCGGAAUCCAUCGACCGAUUCUCUCUUUCUCUCCUCUCCCUUGGAUUCCUGUAGGCGGUGGAUCAAUCUUGCCUUCGUGGUGGCGGCAGAACGAGCGCCGUGAGAUCAGGUGGACCUGCUUCUGAUUCCUCCUGGUGCUUGGGACGUUUUCGGCUAGAUUGAUUUACUAGCUACGUCCAAGCAGGCCACUGGAUUGAUUUCAUGAGGCUUACUAGCUACGUCCCAAUCAAGAUAGCUAGACUUACUAGCUACGUCCCAAGCAGGCCAAUCCAAUAUGUUGAUCAAUUUGAUUGUUCUGGCUGGAGGUCAGGAGGUCAGAAGGUGCGUCCUUCACACUAAAUCGUACCCGAAGUUCUACAAUUAGGCAGUGCACUGCGGGAGCGUGUACUGCGACUAUUUCUGCACUGCCGAGGAAGGCUUGAUCUUUCCCACAGGUCCACCUUCUUUACCUUUCCGUUCUUUGAACUGGAUAAGUUCUGAUAUUCUAACAUUGAUGGAAAAUCAUUAUCUUCUGUAAAGCCACAUUUCAUUUUAUGAUUUUUAGCAGAAGCUCGCUUCGAGGUCUUGGUGUGGGGCUGCUGGGGAAGGGAAUGUCCUUCUACUUAGUGAAAGUCGUUGUUGCUGAGGCUGAUUUUACCUUCUUUCUAAGUGUUCUAUUUUAUUAGUGCAAUUGGUUCGAGUUAAACUAACAUCCAUCGUACAAAUAUUUGUGGGACAUAUUCAGGUAAAUUUACCAUGUUCUGUUUUCAUUACCCAGCGCUAAAAUGUAGAUGUUAUGAUGACCAAUGACCAUAAACUUUUCUCAAGAAAUCUGGAAAGAAGCGAGGAUUCUCAAGUAAGAUAAGUCUGCUUACAAAAAUUUGCCUACUGGAAAGUAGAUAAGAGACUCAUGAAGUAAGAAUACAUGCCUACAUAUUAUACAUAGCAGGCUUCUGACUUCUCUGAUUCUGCAAGCCUUGAGGCUGUGAAACAUCUAUGCUAGGUCGCCACACUUCUGCCACCUUCAUUUGAUGAGGUUCAGCGUUCACUACUAUGAAAGAAGAAGGCAUAUAUUUUCCUUGUGGAAUUUCCAGUAGAAUGGCAGUGAGAACGAGUAAAAAUCUACAACAGUAUGACUGUAUGGUUCUCACUCAAAGUAGAGGCCCAACAAACUUUUUUGAAGUAGGAGUCGAAAACUACAAAUCCAUCUAUUCCUAGAAUGGAGCUGGUUGGAGUUGAGCCUACAAUUGAGCGGGUAGUUCGGUGGCACCGACAUCCAACUGAAAGUUUUAUAGGAGGGUUAGUAAAGCAAAUUUGUUCAUGAGGAAAUGUGCCAGCAAAACAUUGAGUCAGAGUGCAAGACAAAUGCUCUUAACAGUUUUUUUGGUCGCUUUUCUUUAAUUACAAUUCUUAUUAUUUUUAGUUGGCAUUGAUGUACAAAAGAAAAUCCUGUGCCUUUUUUGUCCUCUCAUUGACCAUUGUAUUUUUGAGUCAUAUCAGUCUAUGUAAAAGAAUUCAGUACCUUAUGUUUUGUAUAUUUGGAAAUGUCUAAAGGCGUGGUGUUAUAUAAUAA